rnacentral:rRNA from 1 species
GACGAACGCUGGCGGCGUGCUUAACACAUGCAAGUCGAACGGAAAGGCCCUGAUUUUGUGGGGUGCUCGAGUGGCGAACGGGUGAGUAACACGUGAGUAACCUGCCACUGACUUUGGGAUAACAUCAGGAAACUGGGGCUCAUAGCGGAUAGGAGAUCUUGCUGCAUGGUGGGGGUUGGAAAGUUUCGGCGGUUGGGGAUGGACUCGCGGCUUAUCCGCUUGUUGGUGGGGUAGUGGAUUACGAAGCUUUUGACGGGUAGCCGGCCUGAGAGGGGAGCCGGCCACACGAGAACUGAGGUACGACCCAGUCUCGUACUGUAGGCAACGGUGGAGAAUAUUACACAAUGGGCUGAAGCCUGAUGCAACAACGCCGCGCGCGGGAUGACGUCCUUCGAGUGGUAAUCCUCUGUCGCCUGUGACGAAGCGUGAGUGACGGUAAUGGGUAAAGAAGCACCGGCUAACUACGUG